rnacentral:rRNA from 1 species
UACGGAGGGUGCGAGCGUUGUCCGGAAUCAUUGGGCGUAAAGGGCGCGUAGGUGGCGGGACAAGCGUGCGGUGAAAGCUUGGGGCUCAACCCCGGAGUCGGCCGUGCGAACUGUCUUGCUUGAGCACUGUAGAGGCAGGCGGAAUUCCGGGUGUAGCGGUGGAAUGCGUAGAGAUCGGAAGAACACCGGUGGCGAAGGCGGCCUGCUGGGCAGUAGCUGACACUGAGGCGCGGACAGCGUGGGGGAGCAAACAGGG